rnacentral:rRNA from 1 species
CAACCUCAAAUUAGGUGAGAUUACCCGCUAAAUUUAAGCAUAUUAUUAAGCGGUGGAAAAGAAACUAACAAGGAUUUCCAUAGUAACAGCGAGCGAACUGGAAAAAGCCCAGCACUGAAUCAUUAAUAUAUUCUAUUAAUGAAUUGUAGUGUUUAAGAAGGUUUUAUAUUUCUAUAUAUAUUUCAUUUGUUCAAGUUCAUCUUGAAUGGGGCCAAAGUCCAUAGAGGGUGCCAGGCCCGUAGUAGCAAAUGAAUAUUAUAGAAAAACCUUUCUUUAGAGUGUAACCUAAAGUGGGUGGUAAACUCCAUCUAAGGCUAAAUAUAACCACAAGACCGAUAGCAAACAAGUACCGUGAGGGAAAGUUGAAAAGAACUUUGAAGAGAGAGUUCAAAAGUACGUGAAACCGUUUAGGGGUAAACGGAAAAGAAUUGAAAAUCCAAAAAAGGGAGAUUCACGUCUUCACGCUUGUUAAACAAGGAUAUAUUUUAUGUAUUUUUUAGGAUGAUUAAAUAAUUGUAUAUAUUUUUAAUAUAUAUUAAUUAUUAAUUGCCUAAUUAACUUGCUUUAACAGCGGUAGAUCGCAUUUCUCUCUAAGUAGGACGUCGCGACCCGCUAAUUUAUAAUCAAUGUGCAAAAAUGAUUGCCUAUUAAUUGACAAAAUAGUGUUAAGCCGCUAUUUUAUAGCGAUUAACAAAUAUUUAAAUUGUUUAAUAUUAUAAAUUUAAACGUUUGUUUAAUUUUUAUAUAUUUACAAUUCAUAAUAUUUUGUUUUAAUCUGAGCUUACAACACUAGUCGGCGACGUUACAGUUUCAGUAACUUUUCCGACCCGUCGAAACACCCAAGGAGUCUAACAUGUGCGCAAGUUAUUGGGUUAUCAAACCCAAAGGCAUAACGAAAGUAAAAUAAGCUUUGCUUUAUUAGAGAGGAUGGUAUUUUAAUUAAAAUUUUUUUUUUUAAUUUAAAUAACCCGCACUCUCGGAGCGUUUAUUACUCAUUGCGAGUAAAGGCGCAUCAAGAGCGUACACGUUGGGACCCGAAAGAUGGUGAACUAUGCCUGGCCAGGAUGAAGCCAGGGGAAACCCUGGUGGAGGUCCGCAGCGGUUCUGACGUGCAAAUCGAUCGUCAGAGCUUGGUAUAGGGGCGAUAGACCUAUCGAAUUAUCUAGUAGCUGGUUCCCUCCGAAGUUUCCCUCAGGAUAGCUGGUGCUCAUGAAAAAAUGAGUCUCAUCCGGUAAAGCGAAUGAUUAGAGGCAUUGGGGCCGAAACGACCUCAACCUAUUCUCAAACUUUAAAUGGGUGAGAACCUUGGCUUGCUUAAAUAUAUAUUUUUUGAAGCCAUAAGGAAAUUUGAUCAAAGUGCCAAGUGGGCCAUUUUUGGUAAUGUGGGAUGAACCAAACGGUGAGUUAAGGCGCCCGAAUUAACGCUCAUUAGACACCAUAAAAGGCGUUUGUUGCUUAAGACAGCAGGACGGUGCUCAUGGAAGUUGAGAUCCGCUAAGGAGUGUGUAACAACUCACCUGCCGAAGCAACUAGCCCUGAAAAUGGAUGGCGCUGUAGCGUUAUGCCUAUACUCUCCCGUCAACGAUAAAUAAGGCAAAUAAAUAAUAUAUUUUUUGUGCUAUUAAAUCUUGACGAGUAGGAGGGUCGCGGCGAUGAGCGUAGAAGGGUCUAGGCGUAAGCCUGCCUGGAGCCGUCGCCGGUGCAGAUCUUGGUGGUAGUAGCAAAUACUCCAGUGAGCUUCCUGGAGGACUGAUGUGGAGAAGGGUUUCUUGUGAACAGCUGUUGCACAAGAGUCAGUCGAUCCUAAGAUCUAAGGUAGUUCCAAUGUGAAUGUAGUACCGUUAAUUUAUAAAUUAUUAAAAUUUUUAAAAGAUGGUACUCCUUGAUCGAAAGGGAAUCUGGUUCAUAUUCCAGAACCUGGCUGCGGAACCGUUUCAAAUCGAGCCCUCGCACGAAGACUCGUCGGGGUAACCCAAAAAGACCCAGAGACGCUGUUGGAAAAUUUGGAGAGAGUUGUCUCUUCUCUAUAAGCGUUCGAGUUCCCUGGAAUCCUUUAGAAGGGAGAUAGGGUUUGGAACGCGAAGAGCUUCGCAGUUACGGCGAAGUCCAAAUCUUUCCUUCAGACCUUGAAAAUCUGGGAGAGGGCCACGAGGAACCCCGCGCCAGAUCGUACCCAUAUCCGCAGCAGGUCUCCAAGGUGAAUAGCCUCUAGUCGACAGAAUAAUGUAGGUAAGGGAAGUCGGCAAGUUCGAUCCGUAACUUCGGGAUAAGGAUUGGCUCUGAGGAUCGUGUCGUGCUGGGCUUGGUUGGGAAGUGAAGCGUUGUCAACGAGCCAGGCCUGGGCGAGGUGAUUAGGUUUUUUUUUAUAUAAAAAAAUUCCUUAAGAUCUAAGCUCGGUCUUGUGCCUUGGCCAUUCAUGGAUCAUCCUUGCUGAAGACAUUAUAAUUGUCAAGUUGCUUAGCUUUAGCUUAGUAAACGGAUUAUAUGUCUUUUCGGCCGACAUUCAACGAUCAGCUCAGAACUGGCACGGACUAAGGGAAUCCGACUGUCUAAUUAAAACAAAGUAUUGCGAUGGCCUCAAAUGGGUGCUGACGCAAUGUGAUUUCUGCCCAGUGCUCUGAAUGUCAAUGUGAAGAAAUUCAAUGAAGCGCGGGUAAACGGCGGGAGUAACUAUGACUCUCUUAAGGUAGCCAAAUGCCUCGUCAUCUAAUUAGUGACGCGCAUGAAUGGAUUAACGAGAUUCCCUACUGUCCCUACCUACUAUCUGGCGAAACCACUGCCAAGGGAACGGGCUUGGAAUCAUCAGCGGGGAAAGAAGACCCGUUUGAGCUUGACUCUAGUCUGGUACUGUAAGGAGACAUGAAAGGUGUAGCAUAAGUGGGAGAUUUAUAUAUUUUUUAUAUAUUAUCAACAGUGAAAUACCACUACUUUCAUAGUUUCUUUACUUAUUCGAUUAGGCAGAAGGCGUCAGCUGAGGGUGUUACACCCCGGUUUGACGGUAUUCUUGAGCCAAGCGCUUGGGUUGUCGGAUGUCCAACAAAACUUUUGUUUGUAAAUAUCACGGGUUGGUCUUCUUCAGUUUUUAUAAAUUGUUGUUAGAUUUAAUUCGUAAUUUGCUUCUUUGGUUUUAGUUGCGAGUACCGUCAACAGUUCCCUAGCGUGAUCUGAAUCGAAGACAAUGCCAGGUAGAGAGUUUGGCUGGGGCGGUACAUCUGUGAAAAAAUAGCGCAGGUGUCCUAAGGCCAGCUCAGCGAGGACAGAAACCUCGCGUAGAGCAAAAGGGCAAAUGCUGGCUUGAUCCCGAUGUUCAGUACGCAUAGGGACUGCGAAAGCACGGCCUAUCGAUCCUUUUAGUCUGAAGAGUUUUCAGCAAGAGGUGUCAGAAAAGUUACCAUCGGGAUAACUGGCUUGUGGCAGCCAAGCGUUCAUAGCGACGUUGCUCUUUGAUCCUUCGAUGUCGGCUCUUCCUAUCAUUGUAAAGCAGAAUUUACCAAGCGUUGGAUUGUUCACCCACUAAUAGGGAACGUGAGCUGGGUUUAGACCGUCGCGAGACAGGUUAGUUUUACCCUACUGAUGACCGUUUUUGUAAUAGUAAUCCUGCUCAGUACGAGAGGAACCGCAGGUUCGGACAUUUGGUUCAUGCACUCGGUCGACAGGCCGGUGGUGCGAAGCUACGUCCGUGGGAUUAGGCCUGAACGCCUCUAAGGCCGAAUCCUUUCUAAUUGUUUUAAAGAUAACUUUAUGGGUCUUGUGUGUCAAUAGGCCACACACAAUGUGACUGUAUAGGUAAUCAGCAAUACCCAUUGUUUGAUUAUCGCAUAAGCCAUUUAUGUAAAAAAAAUAAUCAGCUGUAAUAUUAAAAUAAUAAUAUUGCAGUUAUAUUUUUCUUACGUACCAUUGGUAACCUCCUUUUAGGGGGAGUUUGAUGUCAAGGCCCGAAAUCGUUUGUAGACGACCUAUGUACUGAGCGAGGUGUUGUAUUCGGUAG